AUUGAGACGGUAACUGCUGCGUCCACUAUGACGUGUUCUGUUCGGAGGCCUCGAUUCCAAUUCGAAGGUUUCGGAAUCUGAAAUGGCGGCGGCGGCGGUGCGGGCGGCGGAGGAGCUUGCGGAGAGGGAGAUGGCGGGGCGCGACGCCUCCCACGACGCCGCCCACGCCCUCCGCGUCCGCGACCUCGCGCUCUCCCUCGCCGCCGAGCUCGGCCUCUCCUCCUCCCCCGACCGCCUCCUCAUCGUGGAGAUAGCCGCGCUCCUGCAUGACAUCGGUGAUUACAAGUACACCAAGGACAAUGCUGAGGAUAUGAGCAUCGUGGAGAGGUUUCUUGAAGAGGUGGAACUGGAGCAGGGCCAGAGGGAGGAAAUUGUGGCGAUCAUUAAGGGGAUGGGAUUCAAAAAUGAAGUUUCAAAGAAGUCUGUUGUUGAGCCUACUCUUGAGUUUGCAAUUGUACAAGAUGCAGAUCGUCUUGAUGCAAUUGGUGCAAUUGGUAUUGCAAGAUGUUUUACGUAUGGUGGGAGCAAGAAAAACACAUUGCAUGAUCCUAAGAUACUGCCGCGUGAUAAUUUGUCAAAGGAGAAAUACAUGUCCAAGGAUGAAAAACAGACAUCAAUUAAUCAUUUCCAUGAGAAGCUAUUUAAGUUGAAGGACAUGAUGAAGACAGAGGCCGGGAAAAAGAGAGCAGAGAAAAGGCACAAGUUCAUGGAGGACUUUGUGGCUGAAUUCUAUGAAGAGUGGAGUGGCAGAGCUUGAAGUUGACCAACCAGGUUAUGGGCUGUUGGUCUGUGGCAUAGCUUGAAGUUGGCCAACCAACAACAACUCAUAUUGCUAGUCGUCUACUUGGUGACAUUAGCAUGUUUUGUUGCUGAUAUGUUAAGCCAUGCAAAAAAACGAGGGAUAAAGCACACUUGAGUGGCCAAACCACUGAAUAAUGCUCCUCAACAGGCACCACACUUGGCUACAGUACAUAUUGCUAUUUGGACAAAAAGGAAACAGAUCAAAUACUAGUACAUAACAGCAAACUUCAAAUGAAGAAACAAAUGCAGAAGAAAGCUUUGCACAGUGCACACGCAUCAUCUGCUUCACCGACCACAUCUGGAAGCCACCAUUGCUUCCAUCAUGUCCUCCAUACUUUUUUUUCCCCAAACCAUGAGCCUUAUUGCCAAAGCUGUUUAACAACUUGGUUUCAAAGCUUGCUCUUGUCCCUCUUGGUCAGCUUCACCUUGAGCCCAUGCUUCAUGUACAUGGUGAGCGCCAUCUUGGGCGCCACUGGGUGGCCGUCGACGACGCGGACGUGGUAACGGCGGAGGAUGGAGGCCGCGGCAAACUUCAUCUGGUAGUAGGCGAAGUCCUUGCCGAGGCACAGACGAGGGCCGCCGUUGAAGGCGGUGAACUUGUAGGCCGAUUCGCCCAUGAAGCGGCCGUCUCUGAGCCACCUCUCCGGCUUGUACUCCCUGCAGUCCUCCCCCCAGAUGCUCUCCAUCCUGCCCAUGGUGUACAUGGCAUAGAUCACCUUUGUCCCCUUCUUCAGCACCGUCCCGUCCGGGAACACCUCGUCCUCCACAACCUGACAACAGGCCAUGAGAAAUGUUAAGCCUGAAGAUUAGCUCAUCUGUUUUUUUUUUCUUAAAAAAAAUUGGGUGUCACAAUCUUUAUGGCUCAAAACUUAAAGGAGGAUUUAAUUUGCUGACAAAUAGGUUGUCAUUGGAUUUAAUUUGCUACUAUUGAUUUCCUCUGGCCUGAUAGUUUGGUAGGUGAUCUGAUGCAAAAGAUGUUUGAAAUUAUCUGAUCCGGCAGUAAGUUAUAAGUUGUACUUUUAGGAUCUGUAUAACCAUUAAUCAAGAUAAAGAGUACCCUUUUGUUGUCAAUCCACUUUGCAAACCUACAUGUAAACUAAAAACAGAUGCAUUGGUGCAACUACAUCUGGAACUGUCUUCAACAUGUCUCUAUCAUGCUGAAGAAGAGUUUCAUAAGUCUUCACCAAGAUAUCCAAAAACAUGUAGUAGAUGGCCAACUUGCAACCUAUGCAUUCUCUUCUUCUUUUUUUAAUAUGGCACAUCAACUUCAAGAUGCAAGGUCCAAUGCUUGUUGAGCCUGCAUGCUCAACUGCGCAUGCAUCAUGACUUCUGUGCAGGGGUCAGCUGGUUCAUCAACUUCAGUAACACUCAACCUCAAUAUCUACAGCCUAGCACUGCAGUAGUAACUUCCUUGUAAUUUGUAAAUGCUUUACUACCAUUGAUUUUAAGAACUGGGCUCUAGAUGGAGAACUUAACUAUAAAUUACUAGUCAAUUGUCCUUUUGUUCUUUACAUCUACUCCACUAUUUCCUCCAAUGUGCAAAUCUCACUCCUGAGCUGGCUACCAGUAACCGGCAUACCGGUCAGAACAAUUUGAAUUGAAACCUACAAUUUAGAAUUCGAA